UAAUGAUGAGAAAUUGGGUGAAAUAUUUGGGUUUUCUUUAUGUACGAAAUAUUGACAAGUAUAUCAGUAGCGAGUAUGCAAACAUAUCGUUUAUCGUUUAUUCUUAUGACUUUAUUCUUACGAUAGAAAUUAAAAAGGAUAAUAUGUAUAUUCAAAUAAUGUAUAUAUGCAAUGUUAAGAUAAAGUCUGAACAAUUAAUAAUGGGAGGUAUUUACAAAACUAAGACCUGGUUAAGAUUUAUUUAAAAAAGCAAACACACUCAGGGUGGGGUAUAAUUGGAAUCAAUAACAUGGAAAGUCAGACCUGAUUAAAUCCAAAUAAGAACACAUUGAGUCCAGAGUCGGCAUAUAGAUACGAGAUUAUAAGUAACACUCAUGGUCAAUAAACAGCACAGAUGAAAAGGUCACCUAUUGUCUGGGGUACAAAAGUUAUAGUACUGACGAAAGUAACAGAAUUACUCUAUAUCAAUAAAAAUUGAUUAGUACCAAUAUAUAUUGAUUAAAUUUUAGUAUAUCCGCCAAGCAAGUGAAUACAUGAAAAAGUGUUCCUUCUAGAAUAUUCUGACAAAUCAACCAAUGAAUAAUAACCAUACUAGCUGAGGACCAAUCAAAAGUUUAAAAGAAAAAUAUGCAAAUUAAUUUGGGGGCAAAAUGGGGAUGUUUGGAAGGAGAGCGGCACUCCGCGGUUGAGUUAGCGUUUAGACUUGGAGGUGUACGGAUCGAGAAAGAUACGAUCAUGUAGCUAUCAGACUGUAGUUGUAUAACCGAAAAUAUUAAGUAUGUUAGACAUUAAAUUGGACUAGAAACUGAUA